rnacentral:rRNA from 1 species
GAUGAACGCUAGCUACAGGCUUAACACAUGCAAGUCGAGGGGUAACGAGAGGAAAGCUUGCUUUCCUUGUCGACGACCGGCGCACGGGUGAGUAACGCGUAUCCAACCUGCCCCCAACUAGGGAAUAACCUUGCGAAAGUAAGACUAAUACCCUAUAAUUUCCUCAGAUGUCAUCUGACGAGGAAUAAAGAUUUAUCGGUUGUGGAUGGGGAUGCGUCUGAUUAGCUUGUUGGCGGGGUAACGGCCCACCAAGGCAACGAUCAGUAGGGGUUCUGAGAGGAAGGUCCACCAGAUUGGAACUGAGACACGGUACAAACUCCUACGGGAGGCAGCAGUGAGGAAUAUUGGUCAAUGGGCGGAAGCCUGAACCAGCCAAGUAGCGUGCAGGAUGACGGCCCUAUGGGUUGUAAACUGCUUUUAUACAGGAAUAAAGUUAGCCACGUGUGGUUAUUUGUAGGUACUGUAUGAAUAAGGACCGGCUAAUUCCGUGCCAGCCGCCGCCGUAA